rnacentral:lncRNA from 1 species
CCAGGGGAUUCACAAGCACACUAAAGUUUGAGACGCAUGGGCUUGGAUGACUCCUUUAUAGUAAGGUCACAAUGAAUAAACAAAAUCUGAUUCAGAGACUAUGCCAAGCCAGGUGAUAAGAUCUUGAAGAACCAAGAUCCAGAGAGAAGUGAAAGGAAUCAGUGUUCCAUGGAACGGAAGUGCAUCAGGAAAGGAAAGAGAAAACAGAUUCAGACUAAAGCACGUGCCUGACAAUGUGUCUGCUGCAUUGCAUGAGGCAGCCUUGCUGCAGCCAACCAUAGUGGGCUUCAAGAAAGGCCUCCUCUGCUAAAAAUGCUCUCUGAUUAGCCAUUCACUGCUUCCUGAACUAUGAAGACAUCUUCUAGGAAUACUCAGGAUCUUCUGCUAUGUGGCUUUAAUUUAUUUUAAGAUUAAUUCCUCAUUACCUUCUUACACAAAGCCACCAUUAGCAUAUCAAGCACAGCUGUACAAAUUUUUAAAAGGCCAAAAGAUGUAUCUGCCAAUUCUAGGAGGAUAUAAACCUGAAGGCACAAAUCUGGGCUGGAGCACAUGGUUUCCCUUGUGAGAAGAAAAAGUCUCCUUCCUCUGAAUGGACACACCUUGCACACCAGGGCACAAGGUUUGUCUAGAAGAGCACAGCUGAACAUCAUAAAGUGCAGAACCACACACCUGGCAUCCUUGUCCCUACACAAGAACCUGGUGGACAAAGUAAUACAUCCAGCAAUAGAAGUAAACCCUGCAAAUGAAAUGGUCUUUCAAAGAUGCCAAAGCAUUAUUGGUGCCCUUAUGGAGUUGACAGGAAGCCAAAGCUGAAGAGCAUAUUUUAAUCACUUGAUUUAAUUCGAUUACCACUGUAGCUAUUAUAAGAAAACGAUUUCCAAUUCUGUGAAGAAAGGCAUUGGUAGCUUGAUGGGGAUGGCAUUGAAUCUGUAAAUUACCUUGGGCAGUAUGGCCAUUUUCACGAUAUUGAUUCUUCCUACCCAUGAGCAUGGAAUGUUCUUCCAUUUGUUUGUAUCCUCUUUUAUUUCAUUGAGCAGUAUGGAACCAAAAAAGAGCUCGCAUUGCCAAGUCAAUCCUAAGCCAAAAGAACAAAGCUG